GCUGUCUACAAGUCUGUGGUGGGGCUGGGGGUCUUGGGGCAGUGGGAAUUUUUUUUUUCACCGGUGGCAAUUCAUCUUCCUCCGAUGAAGAGUAUACUUUUCUUCUACAAGUAAAAAAACAACGUUAUCAAAUGAUUCUGGGGGGAAAGAAUGACGGCCAUGAAAAAGAACCAUCGAUCAUGCUAUGGGAGGCCACCAGGAGAACCCAUCCAUGUACCAGGACUUUGCCACUGGUCCAGUUUGCCCCUCGUUGAC